UUAUAUACCUUGGUGGUUGUUUAUACCUUUUGCUUGACUUACAAGCUGUUUUUAGAUUGUUUUGUUUAUCUGAUUAGCUGUGUAACUUAGGAUGGUGUUGGUUUUCAUGCAAACUGACUAAAAAAAUGGGUUUAGAUUUUCGUAUAAAACAAAUGACAAAUAUAAAAAAAGCAAUGCAAACUAAUACAAGAAGGCAUUCAAGUUAAAAACUUCACUUAGGAAAUGGUUUUAUAUCAUUUUGUAAAAUGAGUCUUUUAGGAUUUCGAAUUAUACCCUCUGACAAACUUUGCUUCUUUAGUGCUCUGCCUACUCUUUCUAACUCAUUCAAUUGGUUUCAAUUUGAUUGAUUUUAAACCUACAUUUCUCAAAUUUAACAAGUUGUCUUCACCACCCAAAUAAAAAUGUCCAAUUGGUUACAUGUUUUAAUUUUGGGUUUUGUUUUCAUUUGUUUUCUUUUGUUUCUGCUGAAUUGAAAUUACCUAAAUUUUGAUGUUGCUCCUAAUCUCAUGUUGUAGGAUUCUCUUCCAACGAUCUAUCCAUUACUAGGAGCAAGCAGCUGAAAGAAGAACAAUGAAAACAUUGAACAGAGAAAAUCAUUUUGCUUGCUCCUUUGUAUUUGAUUAUUAUUAUACAAACCAAAACAAUGACGACUACAACCUCGACAUGCUCAAGGUUGAACUUUGCAAUUUAUGUAUUAUAUUUUGUUUUGUAAUUAAUUAAUCAUUUGUAUUAAUAACCAAUCUUUUGUAUUAA